UACGUAGGGUGCAAGCGUUAAUUGGAAUUACUGGGCGUAAAGCGUGCGCAGGCGGCUUUGCAAGACAGAUGUGAAAUCCCCGGGCUUAACCUGGGAACUGCAUUUGUGACUGCAUGGCUGGAGUGCGGCAGAGGGGGAUGGAAUUCCGCGUGUAGCAGUGAAAUGCGUAGAUAUGCGGAGGGACACCGAUGGCGAAGGCAAUCCCCUGGGCCUGCACUGACGCUCAUGCACGAAAGCGUGGGGAGCAAACAGG
rnacentral:rRNA from 1 species